UCUGGGGUGGUUCUCCCUUUGCUCUCCUUGUCACCGGCUGCCCCCUCUUGCUGUGCCAGCACCACGCUGCUCGGUCUGCCCUGGCUCCAAAUCCCUCCUCCUCUCCCCAACUUUGUCUGAGGAGCCUCCCGCUUUGCUGCCCCUCUCCCUACCUUGCUGUCCUUCAUCUGUCUAGAAAUAGAACUUUUCUCUACAUUUCUCCAGUUGCUUUUCUCUCCCUGCUACUUCCUGGGGUGCUUCUUUCACUUUGCAAAUCUCUCACCCUCCCUCUGUGUUGCCGUCUUGUUAUGGAUCUUCCUCAUUAUUUUCUCUCUAAAUUUUUCCGUUUCCUCUACCUCGCUCUCCAUCUCUCUUUCACUUCAUAUUCACAGGGAGGGGACUGGAAUAAAAUACCCACCUCCUCAAGAGCACAGUUUCCAAUGGGAGGAAUUUGGGACGGAAGAACACUGGGUGCCCUGAGAUAGGUCCCGGCCACCUCCCCCAACACAGGAUCCGGAGAAGCCGUGACUGCGAAAAGGCCUGGGGACAGAAGGGCACGGCCCAAGGAGGACUAGGGCGGCAAGCAGAUCAGGGGUGGGGUCUGCAGAAUCCCCAGGCCAGGCAGAGGACGGGGCCCUUCCCGAAUGGCGGCUGCGGCGCUGCGCCCCAGGGGCCGACAAGGACGAGGCUUGGGACCCGGAGGGCGUGGAUCCGCCUCGCAGAUCCUUUAUCUGAUUCCAGUUACCUGCUGAAUACUUACAUAAUGGAUCUGCAAAUUAAGGAUGAGCUUGAUUUUAGGAAGAAGAGUAUCUCAUAGAAUUAGGAAAUCCAGUGAGACAAACAUGCUUCUCUACAAGUGCCUCACAGAUCAAACCUCAAUAUUUUCUGCUCCUUGCAGUCUUCAGGGAUUGUGAAAAAGAUGCAGGCUGAGGACCACAGAUUUGAGUUGGAAGCACCUGAUUAUAGCCACGUCUUACGCAUUCUGUUUAAGGGUAUCCCCAAGACACACCUCUGUAUGCAGCACCAAGUCAAUGUCAGAUUUUAUACUGAAUAAUUUCCUUCAUGAUUUUGGAUUCUGAUUUGUUAUCCUCACAGAGUUGGUAGGGUGUGACCGUUGGCACCACCUGUGCCUGCAGUGUUUCAAGCCAUCAUGAUGAGCCCCAGGAACUCCAGAUGUAUAGAAUUUAAAAUAAACUAUCCUGAGUAUAUGGAGCUUUC